UACGUAGGAGACGAGCGUUAUCCGGAUUUAUUGGGCGUAAAGAGCAUGUAGGCGGGUUCCUAAGUCGGACGUGAAAUCUCUCGGCUCAACUGAGAGGGGUCGUCCGAUACUGAGAGCCUUGAGGGCAGGAGAGGGAAGUAGAAUUCCCGGUGUAGUGGUGGAAUACGUAGAUAUCGGGAGGAAUGCCAGUGGCGAAAGCGGCUUCCUGGCCUGUGCCUGACGCUGAGAUGCGAAAGCGUGGGUAGCAAACGGGAUUAGAUACCCCCGUA
rnacentral:rRNA from 1 species